GACGAACGCUGGCGGCGUGCUUAACACAUGCAAGUCGAACGGAAAGGCCCUGCUUUUGUGGCGUGCUCGAGUGGCGCACGGGUGAGUAACACGUGAGUAACCUGCCCCUGUCUUUCGGAUAACUUCACGAAACUCCGGCUCAUACCGCAUAGGAGCUCCUGCUGCACGGUGGGGGUUGGAGAGUGUCGGCGGUUGGGGCUGGAUUCGCGGCUUACCAGCUUGUUGGUGGGGUAGUGGCUUACCAAGGCUUUGACGGGUAGCCGGCCUGGGAGGGGGACCGGCGACAUGGGGCCUGAGAGAGGGCGCAGACGGCUACGGGAGGCAGCGGUGGGGAAUAUUGCAGAGUGGGCGGGAGCGUGAUGCGGCAACGCCGCGUGCGGGAUGACGGCCUUCGGGGUGAAAACCGCUGUGGCCUGUGACGAAGAGGGCGUGACGGUAAUGGGUAAAGAAGCACCGGCUAACUACGUG
rnacentral:rRNA from 1 species